rnacentral:lncRNA from 1 species
CUCUACUGCCUCUGCUGACAUCGAAUUAUUUGCAUAUAUUGCAAUCAUCGCGUUCCAAGAAACCAAAUCUUUCUUACCCAUUUCGUCGAACAUUUUUCUUAUAAGAUGUAUAUCGGUCUGAUUGGUGUUUGACAUAGCACUCUGAUUGGUGUUUGACAUAGCAGGCAAGAUACUCGCCAUAGUACCGGCAUCAGGUUUCGGCUUCCGCAGUGCAACCAUCUUCUCGCAGAGCUCGAUAGCACGGUCGUACUGGCCGUUCUGUGCAUACCCAGCAAUCAUC